rnacentral:rRNA from 1 species
UACGUAGGGUGCAAGCGUUGUCCGGAAUUAUUGGGCGUAAAGAGCUCGUAGGCGGUCUGUCGCGUCUGCUGUGAAAACUCAGGGCUUAACCCUGAGCUUGCAGUGGGUACGGGCAGACUAGAGUGCGGUAGGGGAGACUGGAAUUCCUGGUGUAGCGGUGGAAUGCGCAGAUAUCAGGAGGAACACCGGUGGCGAAGGCGGGUCUCUGGGCAGUAACUGACGCUGAGAAGCGAAAGCGUGGGGAGCGAACAGG